AGCUCAUGAUUGGGUGUAAAGCGAGCGUAGGCGGACAUUUAAGUCAGGGGUGAAAUCCCGGGGCUCAACCUCGGAAUUGCCUUUGAUACUGGGUGUCUUGAGUAUGAGAGAGGUAUGUGGAACUCCGAGUGUAGAGGUGAAAUUCGUAGAUAUUCGGAAGAACACCAGUGGCGAAGGCGACAUACUGGCUCAUUACUGACGCUGAGGCUCGAAAGCGUGGGGAGCAAACAGGAUUAGAUACCCUGGUAGUCCACGCCGUAAACGAUGAUUGCUAGUUGUCGGGAUGCAUGCAUUUCGGUGACGCAGCUAACGCAUUAAGCAAUCCGCCUGGGGAGUACGGUCGCAAAGAUUAAAACUUAAAAGAAAUUGAACGG
rnacentral:rRNA from 1 species